rnacentral:misc_RNA from 1 species
UUAGAACCGAUGAAUUGGAAAAAUUACCGUCAGGACAUGAAGAAAUUUUGCGGAAGAUGCGAGCAAAACAAAGACGUAAUUUUGGACACCUUGGAGGUUGCUAUUGAUCAAGAUAGCUCGUGGUUGCGCGUUAAGCAAUUAAAGUAACAUGAAAAUGUUAAAAUCUAAGGUGGUACCGUGCAUUUGCGCCCUUAAC